GACGUAGGGGGCCAGCGUUGCUCGGAAUUACUGGGCGUAAAGGGUUCGUAGGCGGUGUGGCAAGUCGGGAGUGAAAUCUCUGGGCUUAACUCAGAGGCUGCUUCCGAAACUGCCGUGCUAGAGUGCGGGAGAGGCGAGUGGAAUUGCAGGUGUAGCGGUGAAAUGCGUAGAUAUCUGCAGGAACACCCGUGGCGAAGGCGGCAUCCUGGACCGGCAUUGACGCUGAGGCGCGAAAGCCAGGGGAGCAAACGGG
rnacentral:rRNA from 1 species